rnacentral:rRNA from 1 species
GACGAACGCUGGCGGCGUGCUUAACACAUGCAAGUCGAACGGAAAGGCCCCUUCGGGGGUACUCGAGUGGCGAACGGGUGAGUAACACGUGAGUAACCUGCCCUUGACUUCGGGAUAACUUCAGGAAACUGGGGCUAAUACCGGAUAGGAAUCCUUGCUGCAUGGUGGGGGUUGGAAAGCUUCAGCGGUUUUGGAUGGACUCGCGGCUUAUCAGCUUGUUGGUGGGGUAGUGGCUUACCAAGGCUUUGACGGGUAGCCGGCCUGAGAGGGCGACCGGCCACAUUGGGACUGAGAUACGGCCCAGACUCCUACGGGAGGCAGCAGUGGGGAAUAUUGCACAAUGGGCGGAAGCCUGAUGCAGCAACGCCGCGUGCGGGAUGACGGCCUUCGGGUUGUAAACCGCUUUCAGCAGGGGCGAAGCUUGUGGUGACGGUACCUGCAGAAGAAGCACCGGCUAACUACGUG